rnacentral:rRNA from 1 species
UACGUAGGGGGCUAGCGUUGUCCGGAAUCAUUGGGCGUAAAGAGCGUGUAGGCGGUUUGGUAGGUCCGUUGUGAAAACUCGAGGCUCAACCUCGAGACGCCGAUGGAAACCAUCAGACUAGAGUCCGGAAGAGGAGAGUGGAAUUCCUGGUGUAGCGGUGAAAUGCGCAGAUAUCAGGAAGAACACCCGUGGCUAAGGCGGCUCUCUAGUACGGUACUGACGCUGAGACGCGAAAGCGUGGGGAGCGAACAGG